GACGAACGCUGGCGGCGGGCCUAACACAUGCAAGUCGAACGAGUGGCGGACGGGUGAGUAAUGUCUGGGAAACUGCCUGAUGGAGGGGGAUAACUACUGGAAACGGUAGCUAAUACCGCAUACCAUCAGAUGUGCCCAGAUGGGAUUAGCUAGUAGGUGGGGUAACGGCUCACCUAGGCGCCGAUCCCUAGCUGGUCUGAGAGGAUGACCAGCCACACUGGAACUGAGACACGGUCCAUACUCCUACGGGAGGCAGCAGUGGGGAAUAUUGCACAAUGGGCGCAAGCUGGAGGCAGCCAUGCCGCGUGUGUGAAGAAGGCCUUCGGGUUGUAAAGCACUUUCAGCGGGGAGGCGUUACCCGCAGAAGAAGCACCGGCUAACUCCGUGCCAGCAGCCGCGGUAAUUC
rnacentral:rRNA from 1 species